GCCGGGCAUGAUGGCACGUGCCUGUAGUCCCAGCUACUCGGGAGGCUGAGGUGGGAUAAUCGCUUGAACCCGGGAGGUGGAGGUUGCAGUGAGCUGAGAUCAUGCCACUGCACUCCAGCCUGGGCAACAGAGCGAGAUUCCAUCUCAA
rnacentral:SRP_RNA from 1 species